rfam:Corchorus capsularis cultivar CVL-1 contig06257, whole genome shotgun sequence.
GGGUGUGAUCAUACCAACACUAAUGCACAGGAUCCCAUUAGAACUCCGCAAUUAAGCGUGCUUGGUCGAGAGUAGUACUAGGAUGGGUGACCUCCUGGUACGUCCUCGAUUUGCACCUC